GCCUGAAAAUGAUAUUUAAAGUUCGUUCUUGUGGUUACAAAUAUUGAAAUUUCAUUUCGAUACUCCUAAAAAUUCUUUGGAAUAAUUACUUAUUGCUUUCUAUUUGACAGAAACUCGGUUUCAUAACAUCAUUUGGCAAGUAUUUGUAUUAGGUUUUAGAAAAGAUUUUGAUUUGUCGUAAUUUUAUACAAUGUCAAUGUACUAUCAUUACCAAGAUCCAACUUGGGAACAAUAGUGCAAUUUGCACCAGCUUCAGCCCCAGAUUCAUCAUUUUUUGAAUGUAUAUAACAAUCGCACAAUAGGAUAGCAUGAUGCUGAAUAUCAUGAUGUAUAUUUUGCCGAACGCAGAGCUACAUUCAAGUAGUUACCGCAAUAUUUUAAACAAAGUGAAAUAUUUUUACUGUAAUAAAGAAGUACGAUGGCCGAGGAGGGCCACUUCUGACUUCCGACUUCCGACUUCUGAGUUCCGACUUCUGACUUCUGACUUCCGACUUCCGACUUCUGACUUCUGAGUUCCGACUUCUGACUUCCGACUUCUGACUUCUGACUUCCGACUUCUGACUUCAGAGUUCCGACUUCUGACUUCUGAUAGCCUGCGUAGCAGGCGCUAUUUAGGGGAGGGGCGAAAAAUGGAAGGGGCGAGAAAGAAAUAGCGCCUGCAGGAAAGCCAUAUGUUUUCUCAUAUUUCGCGUCCGUGAGCGGACGCGAAAUUCUGAUUGGCUAAUCAGUCAUCAGGGGUUUCCCAAUUAUAUUCCCUGUGGUUUUAGAUGAGUUCAAAAUAGCGGCCUUAGUAUUGACCUCUUUCUAAAGUGAUUAGCUAUAUUCAGUUGGCGACUGGCCACUGUAUUCAACUGAAAGAGGAGCGAGAUAAAACAGUUCGGGACCUUUUAAAAGGAAAAUAUGUUUUUGCUGUAUUACCGACAGGUUUAUGGCAAAAGUUUGAUUUACCAAGCUUUCGUACGAGCGCGUGAUUAUCAUACGUCAGGGAAAGCAGCUAUUAUUGUAAUAUCCCCAUUGAAUAGCAUUUAUAUUAAAGACCAGCCAAAAGAUAUGGAACGGCAAUGUUUCUCGUCCGUGGAUGUUUAAAUCACUAUAAGUUACAAUCACUAUAUAGUUUAUACGCUAUAAUCACUUUCAACUUAGCCUAUUCGCUAUAAAUUGAUCGAGAAAGUUGCCGCUUCGAGUUGCUGUCGUUGUUGUUAACAACUUGUCCUGCGAUGGGGAAUCUCGUUCUUCUAUGUCGAGGAAAAGACUUUCUAGUACUAGAUUUGACACACACAUUUAAUUUCUUUCUUUAUACACUUUCGUUGUGUGAUUUCUUGGCAACUGCGUUUUGCUUAUCUCGCUCAGAUCAUCUGAAACCGUAUUAUUUUGUUCUUUAAUUAUCGUUCUUCCUUUACAAAUUUAUAUAGUUCAGCAACGUUCCUUAUUUUCCUUACAAGGUUUACACACUCGAUCCGAUAAAGUUUCGCUUCGAUUCAACUUAAUUAAAACCAAUGGACUCGCACGCGUUCGCUGAAAUCAAAUUCUGACUGCCUUGUCUGUCUGAUGGCUUAAACAAAUUUUCAAAGGAAGGCUCACUUUCACAUACUGCUUUUAGAUUGCUGUUGCAAAACCUGCAUGUAUCGCUAGCGCUUGCCUAUUUCGCUUUUCUACCUGCUUUUUUACAAUUUUUUUUGGCGUUAACAUAGAAAUACACUUUAUAGUAUACACGCGCAUUAACUAUGAUUAUGCAUAGUGUUGUGAAACCAGAUCUGUCAUUGGGAAAACCAUUAGUUGCGUCUAAUCACUGAUUGGCUUGUUUUUUAAUGGGCGGGACUUGGGCAGAUAUGAGAAAACAUAUGGCUUUCCUGCAGGCGCUAUUUCUUUCUUGCCCCUUCCAUUUUUCGCCCUCCCCCCCCCCCUAAAUAGCGACUGCUACGCAGGCUAUGUCCAACUUUGUUCUAUAUUUCUAAUAGGGGGAAAGUACAGAUACCCAAGUCCCUAGCACUAACAAUGACCAUUCAGCAGAUGUUUGGUUGUUCUGGCCUGAUAUUUAAGAUUUUGAGUGGUUUUGGACAUUGCCUCUCACUAUCUUUGGCAAUGGCAUAUGAUUCAGCUGUUGCACAGGCAACUAUCAACACAUCAACAUUAUUCCAGUAAUAUCUGAUGCAUGUGGUGGCCAGUUCUUGUACCAAGCUGAUGUACAAUUAUGCAAGUUGUUUCUCAGUGUUAGGCCAACUGUAUACAUUUCUUUCAAUGUUGCACUUGUGUAUGUCGAUGUUUUCGUUACAAUGCCAACAUCAGAAUCAGACUCUUGUGUGAACUCUGAGAUGUUUCUGUGUCAUCAUCCAUAAAACUUUUUCUUGACUGAGGCACUCUGCAUAAACAUUUUCACUCUUGUUUCAUAACUCUGGUCUAUGGAAAACAAGUUGUGGAAACCUUUUACACAUGUACUUUUCGUAACAUUGUUUACGGUAUUCCACUUUCAAUGCUAGGUCCUUAUCAGCAAUUUGAAUACUUUCAUCAGCUUUCUUUGUUGCAGCUUCUUUCAG